GAUGAAGAACGCAGCGAAAUGCGAUACGUAGUGUGAAUUGCAGAAUUCAGUGAAUCAUCGAAUCUUUGAACGCACAUUGCACCUCUCGGUAUUCCGGGAGGUAUGCCUGUUCGAGCGUCAUUUGUACCCUCAAGCUCUGCUUGGUGUUGGGUGUUUGUUCCGCCUCUGUGUGUGAACUCGCCUCAAAACAAUUGGCAGCCGGCGUACUUGUUUCGGAGCGCAGCACAUUUUGCGAUCCAGAUCAACGUACAGCGGCAUCCAAGAAGCCUUAUUUAACGCUCUUGACCUCGGAUCAGGUAGGGAUACCGCUGAACUUAAGCAUAUCAAUAAGCGGAGGA
rnacentral:misc_RNA from 1 species